rnacentral:rRNA from 1 species
UACGAAGGGUGCUAGCGUUGCUCGGAAUUACUGGGCGUAAAGGGCGCGUAGGCGGGUCGUUAAGUUGGGGGUGAAAGCCCAGGGCUCAACCCUGGAAUUGCCUUCAAUACUGGCGACCUUGAGUAUGGCAGAGGUGUGUGGAACUCCGAGUGUAGAGGUGAAAUUCGUAGAUAUUCGGAAGAACACCAGUGGCGAAGGCGACACACUGGGCCAUUACUGACGCUGAGGCGCGAAAGCGUGGGGAGCAAACAGG